GAUACAUUCUAUUUUUAAACCUCAUCAAUUUCAUUAAGAAUAGGAUCACAAUUAUGGUUAACACACACAUGUUCCAGAAACACUUCCACGUGCUUUACCUGUAGUAACUGUUUUAAAUUCUCAGGUGAGGAAUUUGACCACCCUCAUUUAACUAGCAAGUGGCAGAGUCAGAACUUGAGCAAAACAUUUUGGCUCUGCAGUCUGUGCUUUGAACCUUAAGGCUGUACUGACCAGGUUGCCUUAUCACACUCUUCUGCAACACCAUUUUUAGGUACUACUCAGCAUUCCAUUGCUUGGAUAAAUAAUAAUUACUUCAUAAAUCUCCUAUGAGUGGACAUCUAGCCCAUUGGUAUUUUCUCCCUACUAAGCAAUGUUAAGCUCUACCACCCUGAAAGCGCCCGAUCCCAUCCAAGCAAUGUUGAGCUGAAUCUAAUUAGAGCCCAUUUUUGUGCCAUCUGAUGAUCUCCCUAAAUUAAGGAUGUGCAUUUUUACCAUGGCUACUUAGAGGUGUUAUGUAGCACUCCCCACCCUCCUGCAUCUAGGGCAGGCCUCAAACAAGGCUGCAGCUCCAUCUUGCUCUGACAUUUCUCCACUGGCACCCACCAAGGUGUUACAUUUCCUGUCUUGAGGUUUCACAUCCUGCCCCUUAAACCACCCACAGUGCUCCACCCUUUGGGGUUCCGUAGGAAACAUCUCACACAAACACUCACUGAGCCAUGUGUCUCAGGCCAACAAACUUCUAAUCUAGCAGUGGGGGAAUACAGGGGUAACAAAUUACAUCAAUUACAAGUUGAUAUCACUAACUGAUGCUGGCUGGAAGCAUUUCUCAGCUUUCCUGGCACUGCCACUUUUAUCUCCUUUCAAUGACUCUCCAUUUCCUGACCUUACACUGUCCUUUUUCUUAGGUUGAACCACAAGGACCUGCUGACCUACAAAACCACUUGACCUACAAAAAUGGAAAUUUCACCUGGUUCCAUCUAACAAGGCUGAGAUGUUUAUUUCCCCAGUGGAGAACAUGGCAACAAUUUGUCAUGCUGGGAAGCUAUUCAAACAUCUGUUAAACCUUUCCUAUAUUGAGGGAAAUGUCCACCUUUUAAAUCCUGGUUUCCAGAGCAUUAUGCCAGAAACUCACUUUCCCUGACUUCCUUGAGACUAAAAUAAAUGAAUGUGCCCCUGUUUCCUCCAGUCAGAUGCAAGAUUUUUGAUGCAGCAGAGAACAACAGGAAGAGCUAUUCUGCCUUUGAAGAGAGGUGGGGGCUGAAAUGGGGAGAAAAAUCUAGGGUGCUUUAAAGUUCUAUUUCCUCACCAGGAUGGCUGAUUAUAUGAAAGCUUGCUAUGUAAUAAUUCUUUUAGAUUUUGUGCAUUUUUUGCAUGGGUGCUAUUCUUUCUUUCUUUCUUUCUUUUUGUCUUUUUAUAUUUUUAGAGCCGCACCAGCAGCACAUGGAGAUUCCCAGGCUAGGGGUCUAAUCGGAGCUAUAUCCUCCGGACUAUACCGUAGCUCACAGCAAUGCCGGAUCCUUAACCCACUGAGUGAGGCCAGGGAUUGAACCCACAACCUCAUGGUUCCUAGUCAGAUUCGUUUCUGCUACACCAUGAUGGGAACUCCCUGCAUGGGUGCUAUUCUUUUUUUAAAAAAAAUUUUAUUAUAGUGGAUUUACAAUGUUGUGUCAAUUUCUGCUGUACAGCAAAGUAACCCAAUUACACAUAUAUACAUAUACAUUCUUAUUUUCACAUUAUCAUCCACCAUGUUCUAUCACAAGUGAUCAGAUAUACUUCCUUGGGCUAUACAGCAGAAUCUCAUUGCUUAUCCAUUCCAAAUGCAACCCAUGUUCAUUGCAGUACUAUUCACAAUAGCCAAGAUGUGGAAACAACCGAAAUGUCCAUUGACAUGAAAAAAUUAAGAAGAUGUGGUCCAUGUAUACAAUGGAAUACUACUCAGCCAUAAAAAAGAAUGAAAUAACAGCAUUUGCAACAACAUGGUUGCAACUAGAGAUUCUCAUACUAAGUGAAAGAAGUCAGAAAGAGAAGAACAAAUAUCAUAGGAUAUCACUUUUAUGUGGAAUCUAAAAUAUGGCACAAACGAACCUAUCUACAAAGGAGAAACAGACUCACAGACACAGAGAACAGACUUGUGGUUGCCAAGGGGGAGGGGGAGGGGGAGGAAGUGGAAUGGAGUGGGGGUUUGGGGUUAAAAAAUGCAAACUGUUACAUUUAGAAUGGAUAAGCUAUGAGGUCCUGCUGUGUAGCACAGGGAACUAUAUCCAAUCACUUGUGAUAGAACAUGAUGAAAGGUAAUAUGAGAACAAGAAUGUAGGAGUUCCUGUUGUGGCACAGUGGAAAUGAAUCCAACUAGUAUCCAUAAAGAUGAGGAUCAGUGGGUCAGGGAUCUGGUGUUGCCAUGAGCUAUGGUGCAGGUCUCAGACAUAGCUCGGAUCCUGAGUUGCUGUGGCUGUAGCAUAGGACUAUAGCUGUAGCUCUGAUUUGACCCCUAGCCUGGGAACUUCCAUAUGCCAAAGGUGUGGCCCUAAAAAGCAAAAAUAAUAAUAACAAUGUGUGUGUGUGUUUUAUAUAUAUAUAUGACUUGGUCAUUAUGCUACACAGCAGAAAUUAGCACAGCACUGUAAAUCAACUACACUUUAACCAAAAAAAUUUUUAAAAGACUGGUUGGGACCCCUGACACUCCAACCUGGCAUGCACAGGUAUUCACUCAGUGACCUUUUGAAAUGACAAGGCCAAAAACUGCAUCCUCAGAUUGUGCUAAAUGCCUCCAUUUUUUAACAUAUGGAGGCCUGUAGUGUAGUUACAUGUGCGUGGAACACAAGUACCAUAGCUUUUCUCAAUUACCUUUUCUCACACUCCCUGUGCCUCAGACUGUCCUGCUUUCUUUUUUCCCCAGGCCCUGGCCUCCAGGGAGGCAGAUGUGAGAUUUGUUCUCCCAUCUCCAUGGUUGGCUGCCUGGUGAAUAAAUGCUUUCUUUGCUGCAAACCCUGGUGGCUCAGAGCUUUGGCCUUCAAAACUUAGUUUGCUAACACUCUAAUCGACUAUUUUUACCUCCUCUGAAAAUCAUAAAUUUUCCUACAUUAAUCCCCACUAUUUUUCCUUCCCUCACUGCACCCCAGAAAAUACAUGUGGACACACCAUCACCACCGCAACCCAGGAUACCCAGGAAUGUGUAAAAGUUGUGACACACUCAAGUGUCACUGGAAGGUAACCUUCCCGGGCAGAGAUGUUUGUCUCGUGUUCAGUUGCUCCAUCACAGCAUCUAGAAUGGUGCCCAGCGCAUAUUAAGUACCCAGUCGAAAUCUGUAAAAUGAGCAAGUACCCUGCCCUCAAAUGCUUUUGUCUGUUUGUUCAUCCAUCAAAGAACCAGUGCUUUUGGAGAGUGACAUGCUGGUAAAGGCUCUGGGCUGCGUGUAGGGGAUGUCAACGUGCUUAAGGCACAGGUCUGCCCAUGAACAAUUCGGAAUGAACCGCUUACUCCAGAAAUAUUGCUACCAACCCUCAGAAUAUAUUUUGUCAUCUCUAUAAGCCCACCUGGAACUUCUCUUAAUGAAGAUGAGGGACAGUGCAGGUAGGAGGGGUGGUGUUUUGUUUAGUUUAGUUUAGUUUUGUUUUGUUUUAAUCAAGAAGGAAUGGGAGUUCCUGUCGUGGCGCAGUGGUUAACGAAUCCGACUAGGAACCAUGAGGUCGCAGGUUCGGUCCCUGCCCUUGCUCGGUGGGUUAACGAUCCAGCGUUGCUAUGGCUCUGGCGUAGGCCGGUGGUUACAGCUCCGAUUAGACCCCUAGCCAGGGAACCUCCAUAUGCCAAGGGAGCAGCCCUAGAAAAGUCAAAAAGACAAAAAAAAAAAAAAAGAAGGAAUGAAGGAAUGUCUUCCCUCCAUUGAUCUCAGUUUCAGGCCAGACAGGAAGGAAGUAGCAAUAAUGCAGGAUGGUGGAUGAGAUAGUCAGGAAUGUACCCAUGUGUUUGGUCUAUGCUAGUGCCUUGACUCAAUGGUUGCGAACCAACUUUGACUAUGAGUAAGGCAAUAUCAGGGGCAGGGGGUGACCAGUAAUCAGACCUUUUCACACUCGCCAGUGGCUUUUCUGCCUGCUGUAUGAUCUGGCCUCUAUAUGGUCCUCACCCCUGUAUGAUUUGGCCUUGCCUGCAUCUCUGACCACCCUCAGACCUCCUCCUCACCAACUCUAUGCCCUCCAACAUUAAGCUUGUCCCACCUGUGGUCCAUUCUUCAAUCAGUCCCUCUUCUAGAAUGUUCUCUCCACUGAUGUUGUUUUUAUUGGUUCCUUUUGUAUCAUUGAAAAUCAACUUAAAUGAGUUCCCUUGGCCACCCAAACAAAGGUAGUCCUUUCACCAUUUCUUUCCGUGUGUGGCAAUUUGGGAUGUUUUCAUAUCUGGCAUUUUUCUUGUGUUUAUCGUUCAUCCUCCAUCUUCUUCCCUUCUCCCUUAUUUCCUUCCUUCUCUCUCUCUCUUUUUGUCUACCUUCUCCACUAGAUUCUUAGCUCCAUGAAAACAAAAGCUUUUUGGAUCCAAUUCACUGGAGUCCAAGACAAUGCUUCACAUGCAACAGACACACAAUACACAUUUGCUUAAAGGAAACAUUUAUCUAGAUCUUUGAAAGCUGAGGCUGACAUCACUCCCUUCCAGGAUAGACUAUUACAUGCCAUGUGUUGAGCAAUUUUGGCAGAAUUUUCACAGUCUCAUGGAAACCACAUGUAAGGUAAAAUCUAAGCUUCCUGAGAAAAGUAUGUAUUGAUAUUAUGAUCUGGGCCAUCACUGGCUAACGGAAUGUGAAAAUAAGUGGCCCAUAUAAGGUAAUGGCUAAAAUUCAAGGUGACUAAGAAAUAAGUCAGCAUUACAUUAUUCGGAGCAUUGAAUAUAUCCUUUGUUAAUGUGAAAAUUUUUAAAGUUUGAUGUCCUUCAGACACAGCUCAGGGAACAAUCAUCAAAUAAACAUGCUCCCCUUUCUAAAUGUUCUCCCACACUCUGCUGCACUUAACCCUCAUAGCAGUCCUCGAGAAGGGCCUAUUCCUCAUCACCAUUUUGCAGAUGAAAAAACUAAGCUUAGUGAAAUCAAGCAAUUUGCUCAAAGAUACAGAGCCAAGCCUACCUUCAGAGCAAUUAGGAAUUGUUACCAGGGUUAGAAAUGAGCAACAAGGAGUUCCCAUUGUGGCUCAGUGGGUUAAGAACCCAACGUGGUGAUCAUGAGGAUAUGGGUCUGCAGCUUUGAUUUGACCCCAAGCCCAGGAACUUCCAUAUGCCACAGGUAAGGUUGUAAAAGAAAAAAAGAUAGAAAGAAAUAAAUGAGCAAGAAUAAUAAAGCAUGUGGGUUAAGAGGAAUCCUUGAGACAUUUUUUUUAAUUGCUUUUUUUUUUUUGGUUUACAGCACAACUCCAGAAAAAAAUUCUAAGCCACUCCAAGGUCAGAAGACGAUGACUCUGUUCCCAGCUCUGCAGCCAACCAGCUGUGCAGCUAUGACAGUGAAUGAGUCUUUCGAGAUUAUAGAUGAGAAAGACCACAGACGGUAUGAAAGAGUCUAUUUGGCUCAAGAUAUUUUUCAGCAAAAUGCUCAGACUCUAAAAGCUCCUGGUGCAUUCCUGGUUGCUUUUAAAACAUCAGCCUAAUCAAACCAACAGCAGCUAAGUGAGAGAGAAAAAGAGUCUGAGAUACUUACAAGAUGAUUUGGCAAUAAAUAACAGAAAAGACCUAGAAGAAUAUUAUUCUGCUGUUAAAGUUAUUCUGAGGCCAUUUUGCACAGAAUUUUUUAAACAUUAGGUAAUUUUUUAAACAUUCACAUAUAGUUAUAAAAGCAUUGGGUAGAAAGAAUUCACAUUCUAAUUGUUUCCAAAGUGUCAUGUUCAACAUUGGGUAGGACACACAAAAGAUGCCAAGAGAGCAUUUGCCUUGCCAGUGAGAUUAGUAGAACCAACACAGGAAACCAUCCAUCCAAAGAGUCAUCCCAAUCAUCACAAUAAUGAAUUAAUAACUUGAAAGUUUAUAUUUUCUGAAAGCUUCUGCUUAAGUCAGAGAGUCAUCAGAGCUUUAUUUCCAGAACAAUGGAACAGGGAACUUUGUUUUCCUUCUGGCCAGGCUAAAUGGGGCGGUUCUCAGGAUCUUAGAUUCACAGAUUAUUUUUAUGAGGGCUUAAGAAAGAGAAACAAGGAGUUCCCAUUGUGGCACAGUGGUUAACGAAUCUGACUAGGAACCAUGAGGUAGCGGGUUCAAUCCCUGCCCUUGCUCAGUGGGUUGACAAUCUGGUAUUGCCGUGAGCUGUGGUGUAGGCUGCAGACGUGGCUCGGAUCCCGCGUUGCUCUGGCGUAGGCCAGCAGCUAUAGCUCCGAUUAGACCCC
rnacentral:lncRNA from 1 species